rnacentral:rRNA from 1 species
UACGUAGGGGGCGAGCGUUGUCCGGAAUUAUUGGGCGUAAAGAGCGUGUAGGCGGCUUGGAAGGUCCCGUGUUAAAUCUUGAGGCUCAACCUCAAACUGUCACGGGAAACCACCUCGCUAGAGUCCGGAAGAGGAGAGUGGAAUUCCUGGUGUAGCGGUGAUAUGCGCAAAUAUCAGGAAGAACACCCGUGGCGAAGGCGGCUCUCUGGGACGGUACUGACGCUGAGACGCGAAAGCGUGGGGAGCGAACAGG